CUCAAGAUGAGAUUUCCCAUAGCGUAAGCUAGUAAGAUCCCUUGAAGAACACAAGGUUGAUAGGUCGGGGGUGUAAGCAUGGUAACAUGUUCAGCUGACCGAUACUAAUAGAUCGAGGGCUUGACCAAAUAU
rnacentral:rRNA from 1 species